CAGGUUGAAAUACUGGUUCUCAUAUGAUCGCUGAAGUUAAGCAACAUUGAACUUGGUCAGUACCUAGAUGGGUAACCACUUGGGAAU